GCUUGUCUCAAAGAUUAAGCCAUGCAUGUCUAAGUAUAAAUGGUAUACAGUGAAACUGCGAAUGGCUCAUUAAAACAGUUAUAGUUUAUUUGGUAAUCGAAUUUACAUGGAUAACCGUGGUAAUUCUAGAGCUAAUACAUGCUGUAAGCCCGACUUUUCGGAAGGGCCGUAUUUAUUAGAUUUAAGGCCAACCGAGCUUGCUCGUCUCUUGGUGAAUCAUGAUAACUUCACGAAUCGCAUGGCCUCGCGCCGGCGAUAUUUCAUUCAAAUUUCUGCCCUAUCAAUUGGCGAUGGUAGGAUAGAGGCCUACCAUGGUGUUAACGGGUGACGGGGGAUUAGGGUUCGAUUCCGGAGAGGCAGCCUGAGAAACGGCUACCACAUCCAAGGAAGGCAGCAGG
rnacentral:rRNA from 1 species